rnacentral:misc_RNA from 1 species
GAUGAAGAACGUAGCGAAAUGCGAUAAGUAGUGUGAAUUGCAGAAUUCAGUGAAUCAUCGAAUCUUUGAACGCACAUUGCGCCCUUUGGUAUUCCUUAGGGCAUGCCUGUUCGAGCGUCAUUUAAACCUUCAAGCUCAGCUUGGUGUUGGGUGACUGUCCGCUUCACCGCGGACUCGCCUCAAAAUUAUUGGCGGCCGGUACAUUGGCUCUCGAGCGCAGCAGAAACGCGUAACUCGAGGUCCUCGUGCUGGCUCCCAGAAGCUAUCUUCACAAUUUUGACCUCGGAUCAGGUAGGGAUACCCGCUGAACUUAAGCAUAUCAAUAAGCGGAGGA